UUCACAUAUUGCGAUGGUGGGGAAAUCUUUAUCAAAUUAACGGCAAACAAAGCGAUGUUAAUGUAGAUGAAAUUAUUAUUCACCCGGAUCUGCAUUGUGCUGAAAGAGAAAUUUGGAAGGAAGACACGAGCGCAUGAAAGGAACAGAAUUCCAGCUUCAUUUUGAAUGUUGGAGAGACAACACUGUUCAUGCAGAGGACAUUUAAAACACAAGCUGACCCAAGCUGCCCAACUCACUCUAUGUCAGCAAGAAGUGCAGGAGCUCUUCCUUCCAGCCCAGUCCUUUCUGCAGAACCCGUGCCAGCACCUAGUCAGUGCACGGAUACUUGAUACCUGGACUGAAACAGAUAACGGUGCUGGAGGAGUGCUUGGGGUUCUCAGCUCCUGAUUUCUGCAGAACAGCAGAAGUUCUAAUCCCUUUGCAAAGACAGCAACAAGUCACAAAUGCAAAGGUGAAGUUGUGCAAGAGUGUUUGCAAGGUCAGGUCUUUCAUUCACAUGACAUAUAUAUAUAUAUAGGUGCAAGUUAUGGAAUCCUUAUUGUCCUGUGUAAAUAAAAGCCUCUGACCUGUGGUGCUUUUCUUCUCU
rnacentral:lncRNA from 1 species